GUGGGGAAUUUUGGACAAUGGGCGCAAGCCUGAUCCAGCAAUGCCGCGUGCAGGAAGAAGGCCUUCGGGUUGUAAACUGCUUUUGUACGGAACGAAACGGUCCUGGCUAAUAUCCGGGGCUAAUGACGGUACCGUAAGAAUAAGCACCGGCUAACUACGUGCCAGCAGCCGCGGUAAUACGUAGGGUGCGAGCGUUAAUCGGAAUUACUGGGCGUAAAGCGUGCGACAGCGGUGCUGUAAGAAGGGCGUGAAAUACCCGGGCUGAAACUGGGAAUUGCGCUUGUGACUGCAGUGCUGGAGUGCGGCAGAGGGGGAUGGAAUUCCGCGUGUAGCAGUGAAAUGCGUAGAUAUGCGGAGGAACACCGAUGGCGAAGGCAAUCCCCUGGGCCUGCACUGACGCUCAUGCACGAAAGCGUGGGGAGCAAACAGGAUUAGAAACCCUAGUAGUCC
rnacentral:rRNA from 1 species